AGAGUUGAUGACACACAAUAUUGGUCACAUUAAACAAACUUGGAGAAAGGUUUUGCGCAUUAGGAGGCAAAAGCAUCGUGAACAAAACAGCUUUUUGGCUAAGUUCUACAUCAAGCGUUUUGAGGAUUUGAAACAUGAUAUUGAGAACUCUUCCAAUAAUUGGACCAAGGGUGUUGCAGUAAGGGAAUUAUCUAAC